UACGGAAGGCAGCAGUGGGGAAUAUUGCACAAUGGGCGAAAGCCUGAUGCAGCUAUGCCGCGUGUAUGAAGAAGGCCUUAGGGUUGUAAAGUACUUUCAGCAGGGAGGAAAGAAAUAAAACUAAUAAUUUUAUUUUGUGACGUUACCUGAAGAAGAAGCACCGGCUAACUCCGUGCCAGCAGCCGCGGUAAUACGGAGGGUGCAAGCGUUAAUCAGAAUUACUGGGCGUAAAGAGCGCGUAGGUGGUUUUUUUAAGUCAGAUGUGAAAUCCCUAGGCUUAACCUAGGAACUGCAUUUUGAAACUGAAAAACUAGAGUAUCGUAGAGGGAGGUAGAAUUCUAGGUGUAGCGGUGAAAUGCGUAGAUAUCUGGAGGAAUACCUGUGGCGAAAGCGGCCUCCUAAACGAAUACUGACACUGAGGUGCGAAAGCGUGGGGAGCAAAACGAGGAUUAGAUACC
rnacentral:rRNA from 1 species